rnacentral:rRNA from 1 species
GACGAACGCUGGCGGCGUGCCUAAUACAUGCAAGUUGAGCGCUGAAGGUUGGUACUUGUACCAACUGGAUGAGCAGCGAACGGGUGAGUAACGCGUGGGGAAUCUGCCUUUGAGCGGGGGACAACAUUUGGAAACGAAUGCUAAUACCGCAUAAAAACUUUAAACACAAGUUUUAAGUUUGAAAGAUGCAAUUGCAUCGCUCAAAGAUGAUCCCGCGUUGUAUUAGCUAGUUGGUGAGGUAAAGGCUCACCAAGGCGAUGAUACAUAGCCGACCUGAGAGGGUGAUCGGCCACAUUGGGACUGAGACACGGCCCAAACUCCUACGGGAGGCAGCAGUAGGGAAUCUUCGGCAAUGGACGAAAGUCUGACCGAGCAACGCCGCGGGAGUGAAGAAGGUUUUCGGAUCGUAAAACUCUGUUGGUAGAGAAGAACGUUGGUGAGAGUGGAAAGCUCAUCAAGUGACGGUAACUACCCAGAAAGGGACGGCUAACUACGUG